UUCUAAAUCUGAGUCGAUUUUAUACUAAUAUAGCAGAUUAAUUUACUACUAAUAGACUUUAUUUAAAGAAACAUCUAUUUUAUAAAGUAAAGGAGACCGACUCUUUAUAGAUUUCCAUCUGCCAAAGUACCGUGAGGGAACUAUCAAAAUUUAAUCACCAUUUAGUAGCAUUUAAACCGCGCACCUUUUGUAUCAUGGUUUAACUAGAUUCAUAACCUAAAAUAUCCAGGCCUCUCGAAAUCCAAUGUGCUACCUUGCUUAAUUGUUGUUAGCAAUGUCUAAAAUAAUUGUAGCAAAAAUUUUUUAAUAAAGCAAGGAAGAAAUGAAAUUUUAUUCGUAUUGGAUGAUAGCUAGUUUCUCCUAAAAGGCAUAUAAGUGCCAGAAUUUAAUAAAUAUAUUAAGAUUUUGUCUUAAUAUAUUUUUAUAUUCUUUAGAUUUUUGAGGAUAAGCUCAAGAAUAAUUCUAUAAUAUUUUUUCUUAAUUUAAAUUUAAGCUUGGAAAUAGCUACAAUUUUAAAAUUUGUUAUAAUUUAUAAAACAAAUAAAGAAAUGAUUAAUUUAUUUUUAAUAUAAGGAGCUCUAGCCUUACACAUUUAAAGGCUAGUUUCCAUGUUAAAAUGAGUACUGUUAAUAUAUAAAAAUUUAAUCUUUUACUAAUUAAAACUUAACUUAUUUAUUAAUAAAUUAAUUUCUGUAAAGGAACUCGGCAAAAUUUAGCCCUGCCUGUUUAUCAAAAACAUGGCUCUCUGAAAAACUAACAUAGAGAGUCGGACCUGCCCAGUGAUACAUUUAGUAUUUAACGGCCGCGGUACUCUGACCGUGCAAAGGUAGCAUAAUCAUUUGCCCUAUAAUUGAGGGCUAGUAUGAAAGGUUUGACAAGGGCGACCCUGUCUCUAUAGAAAUCCCUGGAAUUUAUUUUCUAAGUGAAGAAACUUAGAUAGAAUUAAAAGACAAGAAGACCCUAUCGAGCUUAAAAGUCAUUUAUGAUAUAAAGAAAGUAUUAUACAUUUCUUUUCAUGAAAAAUUUUGGUUGGGGCGACUAAGGAACAAUUAAAGCUUCUUUUAUUUAUAAAAAUAUCUAAAUCUAGAUCCGUAUUUAUUACGAUUAAAAGAAUUAGUUACCGUAGGGAUAACAGCAUAAUCUUUUUUGAGAGUUCCCAUCGAAAAAAAGGUUUGUGACCUCGAUGUUGGACUAGAAUAUCCUGAUAGGUGCAGAAGCCUUCAAGGGUUGGUCUGUUCGACCAUUAAAAUUCUACAUGAUCUGAGUUCAGACCGGCGCAAGCCAGGUCAGUUUCUAUCUUUAAUUAUAAAUUUAAGUCUAGUACGAAAGGACCGAUUUAAAAUAACCAAUUAUAAUAUACUGAAAAAAUCUAAUUAUCUUAUAAAUAUUAUAUCUAAAAUUGUAAAUAAAGAUGG
rnacentral:rRNA from 1 species